GAUUUGUUAGGUCGUAUAUUCGAGACAUCUACACGGUAUGGGACGUGUAGGUACAUAUGUCUUGGGUGUAUGGACUAAUUAGCCAGUAAUAGAGUGGAGGGAGUGCAUUAGCAUUUAUGCAUCGAUUUGUUGUUAUUUAUUUAAAGUAUUGUUUGAUAUGUGAUAACUUGAUUGUGCGACAUAGUUAAGUAUAACCUUAAAAGGUUAGGCCCUAUUGAGCGUAAGCUCACCCCUAUAGAAUUUUGUUUGGGUUUGUACAAGGCACGCCACGUCUUUCGAGAAGUCUAACAGUACGUUUAGCUAACGUGUACUAGAGUAUAGAAGAGUUACGGAAGAUUAGAAGUCAGAUAGAUCCGCAAGGCCUGGACGUUUUGUCUUUGUAAUUGGUUUUGUUAUUUGUAAACGUUAUUUGAAAUAUUUGAAAUUGUUUUAUUUUCUUUUACUUUUCCCGCUCACGCCUCGGGUUCGGCGUCAGGUGCUUGGAAACCACCGACACCGGGUCCGGGGUGUGACACUAGGGCCGCCAAGCGGCCGCCUUCACCCGCAUAGGGUCGCCUUGACCCACCUUGGGCCGUCUUGACCCUAAUUGAGCCGCCUUGACCCGCCAAGAGGCCGCCUUCACUCGCCAAGGGGCUGCCUUGGCCCACCGAAAGGCCGCCUUCACCCGUCUAAUGUCGCCAAGGGGUCUCCUUAACCUGCUAAUGGUCUACCUUGACCCUCCUAGACCUGCGUAGGGCCGCUUUAACCCUCCUAGGCCGGUCUAGGGCCGCCAAGGGGCCGCCUUGACCCGCCUUGAGGCGCCAUAGGCCGUCUUGACCCGUCUUGGUCCGCCUUAACCUGUCUAGGACCCCCUUGACCCUUCUAGGCCCGCCUAGGGCAGUCAAGGGGUUGCCAUGACCCUCCUAGGGUUGCCAAUUUGCUGUCUAGGGACGCUAAGCGGCCGCCUUGACCCGCUUUGACAUGUCUUGGGCCAUCUUAAUCCUCCUUGACCCGCCUUGAUCCGUCUUGAACCGCCUUGGUCAGCCUUAAUCCGUCUUGACCCGCCAAGAGGCCACCUUGACUCGUCUCGUCUAGGGCCACCAAGAGACCGCCUUGACCCGGUUAGGAUCGCCUUCACAUGUCUAAUGCCGCUAAGGGGUCGCCUUGACUUGGUAAUGGGCUACCUUGAGCCUCCUAGACCUGCUUAGGGCCGCCUUGACCCUCGUAGACCUGCCUAGGGCCGCCUUAACUCGCUUUGAACCGCUAUGGGCUGCCUUGACCCGCCUUGGGCAGUCUUGACCCUCCUAUGGCCGCCAAGAGGCCACCUUGACCCAUCUACGGACACAAAGGGGCUGCCUUGACCCGGCUAGGGCUGCCUUGACCGGGCAAAAGGGUCGCCUUGACCCGUCUAAUGCCGGUAAGGGGUCAAGGUCUAAUGUCGGUAAGGGGUCGCCUUGACCUGCUAAUGGGCCACCUAGACCUGCCUAGGGCCGCCUUGACCCUCCUAGGCCCGCCUAAGGACACCAAGGGGUUGCCUUGACCCGCUUUGAACAGUCUUGACCCUCCUAGGCCCGCUUAGGGACGCCAAGGGGUCGUCUUGACCCGCUUUGAACAGUCUUGACCCUCAUAGGGCCGCCUAGGGAGACAAAGGGGUCACCUUGACCCGCUUUGAACAAUCUUGACCUUCCUAGGGCCACCAAGGGGCCGCCAUGACCCAUCUAAGGCCACCAAGGGGCCACCUUCACCUAUCUAAGGCCACCUAGGGGCCGCCUUGACCAGCCUUGACCCUCAUAGGCCCAUCUAGGGACGCCAAGGGGCCGCCUUGACCCGCUUUAACUUGCCUUAACCCGCUUUGACCCGCCAAGGGGCAGCCUUGACCCUCCUAGACCCACCUUGGGGCGCCUUGACCCUCCUAGCCCCUCCUGGGGCCGCCUUAACCCUCCUAUGCCCUUCCUAAGAUGCCGCCAUGACCCGCCAAGGGGGCUGCCUUGACCCUCCUAGACCUUCCUUGGCCCACCUUAAUCCGCCUUGACCCGCGAAGAGGCUGCCUUGAUUUGUCUAGGGCCGCUAAGGGGUCGCCAUGACCCAUCUAAGACUACCUCGGGGCCGUCUUGAUUCGGCUAGGACUGCCAAGGGGCCGCGUUCACUAGUCUAAGGCGGCCAAGUGGUCACCUUAACCCGCCAAAAGGCCGCCUUGACUUGUUAAUGGGCUACCUUAACCCUCAUAGACCUGCCUAAGGCAGCUUUGACCCACCUUAAGCCGCCUUGGUCCGCUUUGGCCUGCCUUAAUCCGCCUUGACCUGCCAAGAGGUCGCCUUGAUUCAUUUAGGGCCACCAAGGGGCCGCCUUGACUUGGUUAGGGCUGCCAAAGGGCCGCCUUCACCCGUCUAAUGUUGCAAAGUGCUCGCCUUAACUUCCUAAUGGGCUACCUUGACCCUCCUACCUAGGGCCGCCUUGACCCUCCUAGGCCCAUCUAGGGCCGCCAAGGGGCUGUCUUGACCCGCUUUAAACCGCCUUGGGCAGCCUUGAGCCGCCUUGACACUCCUAAGGCUGCCAAGAGGCCGCCUUGACCCGGAUAGGGCCGCCAAGGGGUCGCGUUCACCUGUCUACGGCCGCCAAGUGGCCUCCUUAACCCGCCAAAGGGUUGCCUUGACCUGCUAAUGGGCUACCUUGAUCCUCCUAGACCUGCCUAGGGUCACCUUGACCCUAUUAGGCCCGUCUAGGGCUGCCAAGGGGCCGCCUUGACCCGCUUUGACCUGCCUUGAGCCGCCUUAACCCGUCUUGGUCCGCCUUGGCCCGCGUUAAUCCGCCUUGGCCCGCGUUAAUCCGCCUUGACCCGCUAAGAGGCCGCCUUGAUUCGUCUAAGGCCACCAAGGGGCCGCCUUGACCCGGUUAGGGCCACUAAAGGGCCGCCUUCACCCGUCUAAAGCCGCAAAGAGGUCUCCUUGACUUGCUAAUGGGCUACCUUAACCCUCCUAAACUUGCCUAGGGCCGCCUUGACCUUCCUAGGCCCGUCUAGGGCUGCCAAGGGGCCGUCUUGACUUGCUCUGACCCGCCUUUACCCUCCUUGUCCCGCUUUGAACCGCCUUAGGCCGCCUUGACCCGCCUUGGGCCACCUUGACCCUCCUAGGGCCGUCAAUGGGCCGCCUUGACCCAUCUAGGGACACCAAGGAGCCACCUUGACCCGGGUAGGGCUGCUAAUUGGCCGCAUUCACCCGUCUAAGGCCGCCAAGUGGCCGCCUUGACCCUACUAAGGUCUUUUAGUGCCGCCAAGGGGAUUCCAUGACUCGCCAAAGGGUCGUCAUGACCCGUCUAGGGCAGCCAAGAGGCCGCCUUGACCCAUCUAAGACCACCUAGGGGCCGCCUUGACCCGUUUUGAACCGACUUGAGACACCUUGGGCCGGCUUAUCCCGCCUUAACCCACCUUGAACCGCCUUGACCCUUGUACGGUCGGCUUAUCCAGUCUUGACCUGUUUUGACCCGCUUUGAACCGCCUUGAGGCACCUUGGGCCGGCUUAUCCCUCCUUAACCCACCUUGAACCGCUUUGACCCUUGUAGGGUCGGCUUAUCCAGUCUUAACCCGUUUUGACCCGCUUUGAACCGCCUUGAGGCACCUUGGGCCGGCUUAUCUCGCCUUAACCCACCUUGAACCGCCUUGACUUAUCUAGGGACACCAAGGGGCCGCCUUGACCCGGCUAGGACCGCCAAGGGGCCACGUUCACCUGUCUAAGGCCGUCAAGUGGCCUCCUUGACCUGCUAAUGGGCUACCUUGACCCUAUUAGACAUGCUAAUGGGCUACCUUGACCCGCUUUGACCCACCUUGAGCCGCCUUGGCCGUCUUGACCUGUUUUGGCCCACCUAGAGCCGCCUUGGUCCGCCUUAAUCCGCCUUGACCCGCUAAAGGGCAGCCUUGACCCGGUUAAGGCCGCCAAAUGGCUGCCUUCACUCAUCUAAUGCCACCAAGGGUCGCCUUGACCUGCUAAUGGGCUACCUUGACCUUCCUAAACCUGCCUAGGGACGCCUUGACCCUCCUAGGCCAGUCUAGGGUCGCUAAGGGGCCGCCUUGACCCACUUUGAGCCUCCUUAAGGCGCCUUGACUCGUCUUGACCCUCUUAGACCCGCCUAGGGCAAUCAAGGGGUCGCCAUGAGCCUCCUAGGGUUGCCAAUGGGUUGUCUAGAGCCGCUAAAAGGUUGCCUUGACCCGCAUAGGGUCGCCUUGACCUGCCUUGGCCCGCCUUGGGUUGUCUUCACCCGCCUUAACCCAUCUUGAGCCGCCUUAGGCCAUCUUGACCUGGCUUGACCUGCAUUGGUCCGCCUUUCCUCGCCUUAAUCUGCCUUGACCCGCCAAGAGGCCGCCUUAACUAGUCUAGGGCCACCAAGAGACCGCCUUGACCCGGUUAGGGCCGUAAAAAAGCCGUCUUCACCCGUCUAAUGCUGCCAUGGGGUCGGCUUGACCUGCUAAUGGGUUAUCUUGACCCUCCUAGGCCCGUCUAGGGCUGCCUUGACCCUCUUAGAUCGGCUAAUGGGCUGCAUUAACCGUCCUAGGCCCGUUUAAGGUCGCCUUGACCCGCUUUGACCCACCUUGAGCCGCCUUGGUCCGCCUUGGCCACCUUGACCCGUCUGGGCCCACCAUGAGCCACCUUGGUCUGUCUUGACCCGUCUUAAUCCGUCUUGACCCUCCAAGGGGCUGCCUUGACCCGGUUAAGGCUGCCAAAUAGCCGCCUUCACUCAUCUAAUGCCGCCAAGGGUCGCCUUCACCUGCCAAGGGCACGCCUUCACCUGCUAAGGGGCUGCCUUAACCAUUCUUGAGCCUCCUAUGCCAUCCUAGGGCCGCUAAGGAGCCGCCAUGACUCAUCAAAGGGUUGUCAUGACCCUUCUAGAGCAGCCAAGGGGCUGCCUUGAGCCAUCUAAGGCCGCCUAAGGGCCGCCUUGACCUGGCUAGGGUCGCUAAGGGGCCGUGGUCACCCGUUUAAGGCCGUCAAGUGGCCGUCUUGACUCACCAAGGGUCCGCCUUGACCUGCUAAUGGGCUACCUUGACCCUCUUUGACCUGCCUAGGGCCGCCUUAACCCUCCUAAGCCUGUAGAGGGCCGCCAAGGGGCCGUCUUGACCCACCUUGGGCCGUCUUAAUCCGCCUUGACCCGCCAAGAGGCCGCCUUAACUCAUAUAGGGUCACCAAGGGACCGCCUUGAACCGGUUAGGACCGCCAAUGGGCCGCCUUCACCUGUCUAAUGCCGCAAAGGGGUCGCCUUAACUUCCUAAUGGGCUACCUUGACCCGCUUUAGUCCGCCUUGACCCGGCUAGGGUCGCCAAAGGGCCGCGUUCACCCUUCUAAGACAGCCAAAUGGCUGCCUUGACCCUCCUAAACACGCCUAAAGCCGCCUUGACCCUUCUAGGGCCGCCAAGGGGCUGCCAUGACUGGCCAAGGGGUCGUCAUGACAUGUCUAGGGCCGUUAAAGGGCCGCGUUCACCCGUCUAAGGCCGCCAAGUGGCCACCUUGCUUGACCCGCCUAGGGUCUCCUUGACCCUCCUAGACCCGCCUAGGGCUGCUAAUUGGCCGUCUUGACCCACCGAGGGUCGCCAAGGGCCACUUUGACCCGUCAUGACCUGUCAAAGGACUGCCUUAACCUUCCUACACCCACAUAGGGACCACCUAGACCUGCUUAGGGGCCGCCUAAACCCGUCAAGGGGAUGUCGAGACACGUCUAGGGCCACCGAGGGGGAGUUUUGACCCGUCUUGGUUCGUCAAGAUCCGCCUGGACCUGCUUAAGACACGCGUAAGGACCGCCAAGACCUGUUUAGGGGCCGCCGAGACCCGCCAAGGGGCCACCAAGACACGUCUUGUGCUGCCAAGGGAGCUCCUUGACUCGCCUAGAGCCAUCAAGAUCCGCCUAAACCUGCAUAAGACAUGCGUAUGGAUCUCUUAGACCCGCUGAAGGGUCGCCUAGACCCUGCUAGACUCUCCUAGACCCGCCUAGUCCCUGCUAGACACACGUAGGGAUCACCUAGACCCGCUUAGGGGCCGUCUAGACCCACCAAGGGGCUGCUGAGACACGUCUAGGGCUGCCAAGGGGUGCCUUGACCCGCCUAGGGUCGCCAAGACCCACCUAGACUUGCUUAGGACCCGCCAAGGGCCGCUAAGGGGCGAUCUUGACCCGCUAAGGGCCGCUUUAAUUUGCUAAGGGACCACCUUAACCCACCUAGACCAGCUUAGGGGACCGCCUAGACCCGCCUAAGGACCUUUAAGACCCAUUUAGGGGCCGCCUAGACCCGCUAAGGGAGCGCCUAGAGCCAUCAAGACUCGCCUAGACCAGCUUAAGACUUGCAUGGGGACCUCCUAGACCCAUCUAGAUCCUCUUAGACCCGUCUAGACCUUCUUAGACCCACGUAAGGACCAUCUANNNNNNNNNNNNNNNNNNNNACGCUUAGGGGCCGCCUAGACCCGCCAAGGUGCUGUUGAGACCGUUUAGAGCUGCCAAAAGGGCGCUUUAACCCGUCUAGAGUCGUCAAGACCCGCCCAGACUUGCUUAGAACUAGCCAAGGGCAACCAAGGGCCGCUCAGGGGCGGUCUUGACCCAUCGAGGGCCGCCAAGAGGACGCUUUAACCUGCCAAAAGACCGCCUUGACCCACCUAGACCUGUUUAGGGGAUGCCUAGACCUGCCAAGGGGCUGCCAAGACAUGUCUAGGGUUGCAAGGGGCUAUCGAGACCCAUGUAGGGCCGCCAACUGGGCACCUUGACCCGCCAAGGGCCAUUAAUACAUGACUAGACAUGCUUAGGACCCGCGUAAGGACCAUCUAGACCCGCUUAAGGACCGUCUAGAUCUGCUAAGGGCCUGUCGAGAUACAUCUAAGGCCGCCAAGGGGGCGCCUUGACCCGCCUAAGGCCGUCAAGAUCAUCAUGAAUCGAUCCACUGCCUUGCGUACAGAGGGAAAAUAAGAUCAAGUGAUUCACGUAGGGUAACACCCUCAGUACACAUUUCUUGCUCAUUCAUCAUCAUUUAUGAAGUCCUCAUAAAUGAUUUUUUUUUUUAAGUUAACAUAUUUCAUCUAUUAAAAAUAAAAGGAUUAAUUUCAGUUUACCCCCAUCAACUUAGGUCGAUUAUCAUGUUAGUCAUUCUUCUUUCAAUUUCAUCAAAAACACCCCUCAACUCCUAAUUUUCAUCAGCCGCGUAUGUCCAAACCUCCAAUCUCUGUCAAGUGAUGACUUGAUAUCAAGAAGAAAGAAAAAAGGAAAAAUAGACAAAUUGCAUUCAAUCUCACCAAAAUCACCAAGGUUAGAGGGUUGUGAUGGGAACAAAGAUGUGUAUCAAUAUGGGGAGAAAAUGGUUCGAAAGGUAACUUUCAGAAUUUGCCUUUCUUCUUGAUAUCAAGUCAUCACUUGACAAAAGAAUUGGAUGGAGAUUGGAGGUUUGGACAUGCGCGACUGAUGAAAAUUAGGAGUUGAGGGGUGUUUUUGAUGAAAUUGAAAGAAGAAUGACUAACAUGAUGAUCGACCUAAAAUUGAUGGGGUAAACUGAAAUUAGUCCAAAAUAAAAGAUACAUCAUGAAUCGAUCCACUGUUUUGCGUACAAAUGGCAAAUAAGAUCAAGUCAUGAUUCAUGUUGGGUAACCCUCAUUACACAUUUCUCGCUCAUUCAUCAUCAUACCUAUAAUCAACAAGACUAUGGACAAUUAAUCUAAUGAAAAGGGAAACAACAACACCUGUAAUCUAUGUUCCACAUAUUAUAGGCCAUUAUUCUAAACAUAAAAACAUAAUUAAAGGCAAUUGAGACCCAAAGCCCAGAACAAGUAUCCAAGGCCCAAAGAAAAGACUUAAGCUUACUGAAGUCCACAAGCUCAAGCCUAAUUUAUAAGGGCACUCAAGAUGGGCACUCUAUCCUCCGCCAUCUGCCACCACCGUCGUUGCCUCCGACGGGUGGCCUUGGCCCCAUCAUCUGCCAUCACCGGGCCCAAACCGGCAAGGCAGCAACCAGCCUUGACCUCGCCCAAAACCAGCAACCAGCCUUGACUCGCAGCAAUCGUCGUUGCAAACUACCAAGAGCCGCUCAAAGCCGCCUCAAGGUCGACCCCGACAACCUAUAGACAUAACAAGGCUGGAGUUCAAACCACUGAUCUAAUCCGAUCUGAAAUCACUCACGAUCGAACUCCGUUUGUCGACCGAAUGACCUGAUCCUUGCAACAAACAAGAAGCCGCCGCUACUACCGUCUUCAACCUCAAAGAUCAGAGCCGUCACCACUUGUAAAGUCGACGUCGUCUAGUCGCCCAGCCACCGACAGACCCUAAACCAAACUCACGAUCUAAGGCUUACCUCCACGCAGCUGCAGCCGCUUAGAAGCUUGCCCACGCCGCUAAAUCGUGAUCCGGGUCACUCACCACCAGCCAAGAAGCUUAGCCGUCUAGAGCCACCUUGGGCCAUCUUGACCUGUCUUAACCUACCUUGAGCACCAUUGGUCCGCCUUUGCCCGCCUUAAUCUGUCUUGACCCGCCAAGAGGCCGCCUUAACUCGUCUAGGGCCGCAAAAGGGCCACCUUGACCCAGUUAGACCCGGUUAGGGCCGCAAAAAAGCCGCCUUCACCCGUCUAAUGCCGCCAUGGGGUCACCUUGACCUGCUAAUGGCCUACCUUGACCCACUUUCAACCCUCUUAGGCCGCCUUGACCCUCCUACGGCCGCCAAGGGGGCGCCCUGACCUGGCUAGGGCCGCUAAGGGGCCGCAUUCACUCGUCUAAGGCCGUCAAGUGGCCGUCUUGACUCGCCAAGGGGCCGUCUUGACUCGCCAAGGGGCCGCCUUGACCCUCCUAGAGCCGCCUUGACUCUCUUAGGCCCUCAUAGGCUCGCCUAGGGCCACCAAAGGGCCGCCAUGACUCGUCUAGGGCCGCCAAGGGGUCGCCUUAACAAGCUAAUGGGCUACCUUAGCCCUCCUAGACCUGCCUAGGGCCGCCUUUACCCUCAUAGGCCCGUCUAGGGCCAACUUGGCCCGCCUUAAGCCGUUUUGACCUGCCUAGGACCACCUUGACUUGCCUAGUGACGCCAAGCGGCCGCCUUGACUCGCAUAGGGUCGCCUUGACCCUUAUUAACCCAUCUAGGGCCGAGUUGACCCGCCUUAACCCAUCUAGGGUCUUCUUGGGCCGCCUUGACCCUCUUAGGCCUGCCCGCCUAGGUAGUCAAGGGGUUGCCAUGACCCUCCUAGGGUUGCCAAUAGGUUGUCUAGGGCCGCCUUGACCCGCAUUAAUCUGCCUUGACCCGCUUUAAACCGCGUUGCCGCCUUGACCCACCCUGGGCCACCAAGAAGUCGCCUUGACCCAUAUGGAGACACCAAAGAGCUGCCUUAACCCGGCUAGGGCCGCCGAAGGGCCGUGUUCACCAGUCUAAAGCCACCAAGUGGCCGCCUUGACCCGCCAAGGGACUGCCUUGACCCACCUAGACCCGCUUAGGGCCGCCAAGGGGGCUGCCUUGACCCUCCUAGGGCCGCUAAGUGGCCGCCUUGACCCACUUUGACCCUCCUUAAUCCGUCUUGAACCUCCUUGAGGCAACUUGGGCUGCCUUGACCCGCCUUGGGCCGCCAAGGGGGCUGCCUUGCCCCUCCUAGGGCCGCUCAGUGGCCGCCUUGACCCGCCUUGAACCUCCUUGCGGUAACUUGGGCUGCCUUGACCUGUCUUAACCCGCCUUGGGCCGCCAAGAGGCCACCUUGACCCAUCUAGGGACACCAAGGAACCGCCUUGACCCAGCUAGGGCCACCAAGGGGCCGCGUUCACCCGUCUAAGGCCGCCUUAACCCUUCUAAGGCCGUCAUAACUCGCCAAGGGGUCGCCAUGACCCGUCUAAGGCUGCCAAGGGGCCGCGUUCACCCUUCUAAGGUCGCCAAGUGGCCUCUUUGACCCGCCAAGGGGGCUGUCUUGACCCACCUAAACCCUCCUAGGCUCUCAUAUGGCUACCAAGGGGCCGUCAUGACUCGCCAAAGAGCCGCCUUGACCCAUCUUAAGCUACAUAGGGGCCGUCUUGACCCUCCUAGGCUCUCAUAUGGCCACCAAGGGGCCGUCAUGACUCGCCAAAGAGUCGCCUUGACCCAUCUUAGGCUACAUAGGGGCCGUCUUGACCCUCCUAGGGCCGCUAAGGGGCCGCCUUUACCUGCUUUGACUCGCCUAAACCUGCCUUGACCCACUUUGAACCGUCUUGAGGCACCUUUGGCCGCCUUGACCCUCCUUGGGCCGCUAAGAGGCCGCCUUAACCCAUCUAGGGACACAAAGGAGCUGCCUUAACCCGGCUAGGGCGGCCAAGGGGCCACGUUCACUCGUCUAAGGCCGCCAAAUGGUCGCCUUGACCCUGCUAGGCCCACCUAGGGCCGCCAAGGGACGCCUUGACCUGCCUACACCUAAGGCCGCCAAGAGGUUGCCUUGACCAGUCUAGGGCCACCAAGAGGCCGCCUUCACCCGACUAAGGCUGCCAAGGGGCCGCCUUCACCCGCUAAGGGGAUGCCUUGACCAUUCUAGACCCGCCCUAGGGCCGCCUUGACCCUCCUAGGCACGCCUAGGGCCACCAAGGGGCCGCCUUGACCCGCCUUGACCCGUCUUAGCCCGCCUUGACCCGCUUUGAACCGCCUUGAGGCGCCUUAGGCUGCCUUGACCCACCUUGACCCUCCUAGGGCCGCCAUGGGACAGCCUUGACCUGGCUAUGGCCGCCAAGAGGUCGCAUUCACCUGUUUAAGGCCGCCUUGACCCGGCUUGGCCCGCUUUGAACCGCCUUGAGGCGCCUUUGGCUGCCUUGACCCUCUUAGGGCCGCCUUGACCUGGCUAGGUUCGCUAAGGGGCCGUGUUCACCCGUCUAAGGCCGCCAAGUGGUCGUCUUGACCCGCCAAGGGGCCGCCUUGACUUGCUAAUGGGCUACCUUGACCUUCCUAAACCUGCUUAGGGCUACCUUAACCUUCCUAGGCCCGUCUAGGGCUGCCAAGGGGCCGCCUUGACCCGCUUUGAACCCCUUUGACCCGCUUUGAACCGCCUUGAGCCGCCUUUGCCAGUCUCAAUCUGCCUUGACCCGCCAAGAGGUCGCCUUGACUUAUCUAGGACCACCAAGGGGCCGCCUUGACCUGGUUAGGGCAGCCAAUGGGCCGUCUUCACCCGUCUAAUGUCAUAAAAGGGUCGCCUUGACCUGCUAAUGGGUUAUCUUGACCCUCCUAGACCUGCCUAAGGCCGCUUUGACCCGUUUUGACCCGUCUUCACCUGUUUUGAACUGCUUUGGGCCGCCUUGACCCGACUAGGGCCGCCAAUGGGCAGUGUUCACUCGUCUAAGGCCGCCAAGUGGCCGCCUUGACCCGCCAAGGGGGCUGCCUUGACCCUCCUAGACCCACCUAAAGCCUCAUUGACCCUCCUAGACCCUCCUAGGGCCACCAAGGGGAUGCUCUGACUCAUCAAGGGGUCGCCAUGACCCGUUAAGAGGUCGCGUUCACCCGUCUUAGGCCGCCAAGUGGCCGCCUUGACCCGCCUAGAGCCGUCUUGACCCUCCUAGACCCGCCUAGGGCCGCUAAUUGGCCGCCUUGACCCAUCGAGGGCCGCCAAUGUAAUACCCCGAUAAUUUUAAAAGUCAAUUAAUGUAGAAUUAAAUUCAGUUUACCCCCAUGAGGUUUGAGAGUAACUUCAUGUUAAUCCCUAUACUUUCAAUUUCAUCAGUUUACCCCUCAACUUUUGAAUUUUCCUCAAGCGUGACCAAUGUCCUAUAUUCUGUCCAAAUCGGACGUUAACUGCUAAUAAUUUUAACCUUAACUAUGAAACCCGUAUCUAGAAUUAAGGGUUAAUUCAAACAGAAUAUGAGAAUUUGGGCACUGCAGACAAAAAUUAAAGAGUUCAAGGGGUAAACUGAUGAAAUUAAAGGUGUAGGGACUAACAUGAAGUCACCCCUAAACCACAAGGGGGUAAACUGAAUUUAAUUCAUUAAUGUAUAUACAUAUAUAUCAUUCAUGCUAAGAUGUGAGUUAAUUAAAAUAUUCUUGUAAUACGAGAAUAUUUAUUUGGGACUCUUCCUGUGCCGAAACAUAUGUGUAUAAUAGAUAUAUGCACAUAUACGGUAUACUUUCACAAUUAUAGUAAGGUGAAUAAGUAAGUAAAAUAAUAUAUCUAUGAAAGCAAGAGAGAGGUGGUCUAGAAUACUGAGCUCACACCGAUAUGGGACACGAAAAUUUAAAAGAAGAGGAAGAAUCGAGAAAAUGGAGGAAGGAGAGAACGACACAGACCUUUUUAUUAUAUAUCUUUCAUAGGCCGGAUUUGUGAUACACCGAGUAUUUUAUAAAUGAAUGAAUAUUACUGAAAUGAGAUCUAAAUUAUGAGGAUGUGGUACUAAUACUUCAUAUCGAUAUGAGCAUGUGAAAAUUCUCAUGAAUUUUCUAGACAGUUGAUUUACUCACUAUUGAUAAAACUAUGGGAAUAAAAUAAAUGAAAUGGAGUGAUAUGGACCGUUGGAUCUUUUGAAAUUUGAUCUAUAUCGUUGGGUUUGUGAUUACUUUUUACUCUUGGAUUUGGGUUACAAGUUGAGAUUGGUCUAGAAAAGAAUGGAAGGUUGUGAAACUUUUCACCGACUAGAAAAAAGGGAAAGAAGGGUUGAGAAGAGGGGAGAAGAAGGGGAAGAUGACACCGACCGCCAACCAUGAUAUCUACCACCGACCUCGACCAGGAGGGAGGGAAACCUCUCAUUGUUCUCCUAGACGAACAUCAACCCCAAUCUCGACUCUACCUCUCACGCCGACCUUCUCCAAUAAUCAAUCACUCUUUGUUUCCUAAAGAGAAGUAAGUGAUUCAAAGGGCGACAACCAUGGUUUUCAACUCAAGCCAUUGGUUAAAAUUCAUCACCUAAUGAUUAGUUUUUCGUCGGAGUCGAUUGGGUAAGGUGUUCGUGUUUGGAAUAGGAUUGGAAUAAAGAUUUUAGGUUCGUUUUCUUGUUAAGAGUGAAUCCUUUGUUCAAUCUCUUAAGUGAAUCUCUGGAUUGCUCUUCUGAUGCUCGAUUAAGCAUUGGAUACUCAGAAAUAUUAUCCAUGUGUCGAGUUCCUAUUUUGAUAAAUAUUUAGAUUUACUUAGUAUAAUUUUGGGGUCAGGUCGUUACAGCCAAGGGGCCACUUUGACCCGCCAUGACCUGUUAAGGGACCGCCUUGACCCUUCUACACCCAAGUAGGGACCACCUAGACAUGUUUAAGGGCCGCCUAAACCCACCAAGUGGAUGCCGAGACACAUCUAGGGCCACCAAGGGGGCGUUUUGACCCGCCUAGACCUGCUUAAGACAUGCGUAGGGACCACCAAGACCCAUUUAGGGGCCGCCAAGACACGUCUCUGGCCGCCAAGGGAGCGCCUUGACUCGCCUACCCGCCUAAACCAGCAUAAGACAUGCAUAGGGAUCUCCUAGACCCGCUUAGGGGUCACCUAGACCCUGCUAGACUCUCCUAGACCCGCCUAAACCAUGCUAGACAUUUAGGGAUCACCUAGACCCGCUUAGGGGCCGCCUAGACCCGCCAAUGGGCUGCUGAGACACGUCUAGGGCUGCCAAGGGCGCCUUGACCAGCCUAGGGUCGCCAAGACCCGCCUAGACUUGUUUAGGACCCACCAAGGGCCGCUAAGGGACGAUCUUGACCCGCUAAGGGCCGCCAAUGGGCCGUUUUAAUUUGCUAAGGGACCACCUUGACCCACCUAGACCAGCUUAGGGGGCCGCCUAGACCCACCUAAGGACCUCUACGACCCAUUUAGGGGCUGCCUAGACCCGCCAAGGGAGUGCCUAGAGCCGUCAAGACCUGCCUAGACCAGCUUAAGACCUGCAUGGGGACCUCCUAGACUCUUCUAGACCCUCUUAGACCCGCCUAGACCUUCUUAAACCCACGUAGGGACCACCUAAACACGCUUAGGCCCUAGACCUGCCAAGGUGCUGUUGAGACACGUUUAGAGCUGCCAAGGGGGCGCCUUAACCCGUCUAGGGUCAUCAAUACCCGCCUAGACCUGCUUAGGACCCGCCGAGGGCAACCAAGGGCCGCUAAGGGGCGGUCUUGACCCACUGAGGGCCGCCAAGAGACCGCUUUAACCUGCCAAAGGACCGUCUUGACCUAUCUAGACCAGCUUAGGGACUACCUAGACCCGUCAAGGGGCUACCAAGACAUGUCUAGGGUUCCCAAAGGGCUAUCGAAACCCAUGUAGGGCCGCCAACGGGGAGCCUUGACUCGCCGAGGGACGUUAAUACCUGCCUCGACAUGCUUAGGACCCGCGUAGGGACCAUCUAGACCCGCUUAAGGACCGCCUAGACCCGCCAAGGGCCUGCCGAGACAUGUCUAUGGCCGCCAAGGGGGCACCUUGACCCGCCUAGGGCCUUCAAGAUCAUCAUGAAUCGAUCCACUGUCUUGCGUAUAAAAGACAAAUAAGAUCAAGUCAUGAUUCACGUAGGGUAACCCUCAUUACACAUUUCUCGCUCAUUCAUCAUCAUACCUAUAGUCAACAAGACUAUGGACAAUUAGUCUAAUGAAAAGGGAAACAACAACACCUAUAAUAUAUGUUCCACAUAUUAUAGGCCAUUAUUCUAAACAUAAAAACAUAAUUAAAGGCAAUUGAGACCCAAAGCCCAGAACAAGUAUCCAAGGCCCAAAGAAAAGACUUGAGCUUACUGAAGUCCACAAGCUCAGGCCUAAUUUAUAAGGGCACCCGAGAUGGGCACUCUAUCCUCCGCCAUCUGCCACCGCCGUCGUUGCCUUCGACAAGCAGCCUUGACCCCAUUGAACAACCAUCAACAUCACCUUGCCCAAACCGGCAAGGCAUCAACCAGCCUUGACCUCGCCCAAAACCAGCAACCAGCCUUGACUCGCAGCAAUCGCCGUUGCAAACCACCAAGAGCCGCUCAAAGCACCAAUGUUGACCCCGACAACCUAUAGACGUAACAAGGCUGGAGUUCAAACCACCGAUCCAAUCCGAUCUGAAAUCCCUCGCAAUCGAACUCCGUUUGUCGACCGAAUCACCCGAUCCUUGCAACAAACAAGAAGCCGCUGCUACUACCGUCUUCAACCUCAAAGAUCACCACCUGCAAAGUCGACGUCGUCUAGUCACCCAGCCACCGUCGGACCCUAAACCAAACUCACGAUCUAAGGCUUACCUCCACGCCACUGCAGCCGCUUGGAAGCUUGCCCACGCCGCCAAAUCGCAAUCCGGGUUGCUCACCACCAGCCAAGAAACCGAAGUGAAAACUACCGUCGCCGCCUGCUCGAUCGUCUCCUCUCCUAGAAAAACCCUAAUAGGGAGAGAGUUGACUAUCUUUUUCAAGUUGAUUAUAUAUAUAGGUUCAUCUCCUAAUUACUCGUAGUAGUGCUUUCAAUAUAAGGUCCUCCUAAAUCAACAAUUAAUUUUAUGUAUUAAGGAACUAUUAAUUUAUAUAUUUAUUAAGAUCUUUGUGAAUUCUCGUAUAGUCGUAUUUGUAUUAUCUUAUAUAAUUUUAACGAAUUAUUAAUUUAACACGUUAUCCUCAACUCGAGACCGAUAAAAAAUAUUAUUUUAACGAGAUUAUUAAUUAAUUGAGUAUUAAAUUAUUAAGAUUCUACAGUCUUUGAGAUAAGAAAUAAGAAAAGAGGUUCAUGUUUCUAGGAGCCUUUCUAGUGAGGACCCUUAAGUUGAGGACUAGUUGAGGACUUUUCGGUUUAUGGUUUAAAAGACAUAUUUUUCGAUCACAUUUUGUCAUCUCAUCCGUUCAGUUUUAAGGUCUAUAUGUGUAGAUCAACCCUACAAAUUUUCAGCUAAAUCGGUGAUCGUUAAGGUAACAAACUAGAUCAAAUUAAUAAACGAACCAAAUCUAUCAAACAUGAAUCAUUCAAGUUCAUAAUUGGUAAAUCACACUUAUGAAUAUCUUAACGAUUUUCAAUAUGGCUAAAAAUUUGCAGAACUGAUCUACUCAUAAAUACUUAUAAACUGAACGGUGAAGAUAUAAAUAUAAAAUCAAAAAGUGAGAUAAGCCGAAAAAUCUUUAAUAAAUCCUUAACUUAAGGGUCCUCGUUAGAAUGGUUUUCU
rnacentral:lncRNA from 1 species